UACGUAGGGUGCAGGCGUUAAUCGGAAUUACUGGGCGUAAAGCGUGCGCAGGCGGUUUCUUAAGUCAGAUGUGAAAGCCCCGGGCUUAACCUGGGAACUGCGUCUGAAACUGGGAGACUUGAGUGUGGCAGAGGGGGGUGGAAUUCCACGUGUAGCAGUGAAAUGCGUAGAUAUGUGGAGGAACACCGAUGGCGAAGGCAGCCCCCUGGGUUAACACUGACGCUCAUGCACGAAAGCGUGGGGAGCAAACAGG
rnacentral:rRNA from 1 species